GCCAGGCAAGAGUUUGAUCCUGGCUCAGGAUGAACGCUGGCGGCGUGCCUAAUACAUGCAAGUCGAGCGAACGGACGAGAAGCUUGCUUCUCUGAUGUUAGCGGCGGACGGGUGAGUAACACGUGGAUAACCUACCUAUAAGACUGGGAUAACUUCGGGAAACCGGAGCUAAUACCGGAUAAUAUUUUGAACCGCAUGGUUCAAAAGUGAAAGACGGUCUUGCUGUCACUUAUAGAUGGAUCCGCGCUGCAUUAGCUAGUUGGUAAGGUAACGGCUUACCAAGGCAACGAUGCAUAGCCGACCUGAGAGGGUGAUCGGCCACACUGGAACUGAGACACGGUCCAGACUCCUACGGGAGGCAGCAGUAGGGAAUCUUCCGCAAUGGGCGAAAGCCUGACGGAGCAACGCCGCGUGAGUGAUGAAGGUCUUCGGAUCGUAAAACUCUGUUAUUAGGGAAGAACAUAUGUGUAAGUAACUGUGCACAUCUUGACGGUACCUAAUCAGAAAGCCACGGCUAACUACGUGCCAGCAGCCGCGGUAAUACGUAGGUGGCAAGCGUUAUCCGGAAUUAUUGGGCGUAAAGCGCGCGUAGGCGGUUUUUUAAGUCUGAUGUGAAAGCCCACGGCUCAACCGUGGAGGGUCAUUGGAAACUGGAAAACUUGAGUGCAGAAGAGGAAAGUGGAAUUCCAUGUGUAGCGGUGAAAUGCGCAGAGAUAUGGAGGAACACCAGUGGCGAAGGCGACUUUCUGGUCUGUAACUGACGCUGAUGUGCGAAAGCGUGGGGAUCAAACAGGAUUAGAUACCCUGGUAGUCCACGCCGUAAACGAUGAGUGCUAAGUGUUAGGGGGUUUCCGCCCCUUAGUGCUGCAGCUAACGCAUUAAGCACUCCGCCUGGGGAGUACGACCGCAAGGUUGAAACUCAAAGGAAUUGACGGGGACCCGCACAAGCGGUGGAGCAUGUGGUUUAAUUCGAAGCAACGCGAAGAACCUUACCAAAUCUUGACAUCCUUUGACAACUCUAGAGAUAGAGCCUUCCCCUUCGGGGGACAAAGUGACAGGUGGUGCAUGGUUGUCGUCAGCUCGUGUCGUGAGAUGUUGGGUUAAGUCCCGCAACGAGCGCAACCCUUAAGCUUAGUUGCCAUCAUUAAGUUGGGCACUCUAAGUUGACUGCCGGUGACAAACCGGAGGAAGGUGGGGAUGACGUCAAAUCAUCAUGCCCCUUAUGAUUUGGGCUACACACGUGCUACAAUGGACAAUACAAAGGGCAGCGAAACCGCGAGGUCAAGCAAAUCCCAUAAAGUUGUUCUCAGUUCGGAUUGUAGUCUGCAACUCGACUACAUGAAGCUGGAAUCGCUAGUAAUCGUAGAUCAGCAUGCUACGGUGAAUACGUUCCCGGGUCUUGUACACACCGCCCGUCACACCACGAGAGUUUGUAACACCCGAAGCCGGUGGAGUAACCUUUUAGGAGCUAGCCGUCGAAGGUGGGACAAAUGAUUGGGGUGAAGUCGUAACAAGGUAGCCGUAUCGGAAGGUGCGGCUGGAUCACCUCCUUUCU
rnacentral:rRNA from 1 species